rnacentral:rRNA from 1 species
AACGAACGCUGGCGGCGUGCUUAACACAUGCAAGUCGAACGCGAAAGGGACUUCGGUCCUGAGUAAAGUGGCGCACGGGUGAGUAACGCGUAGAUAACCUGUCUUCAUGUCUGGAAUAAUACGCCGAAAGGGGUACUAAUACCGGAUAUCUUGCUUUUCAUAAGUUAUGCAAGCAAAGGUGGCCUCUGCAUAUGCUACUGCAUGAAGAGGGGUCUGCGUACCAUUAGCUAGUAGGUGGGGUAAUGGCCUACCUAGGCGACGAUGGUUAGCGGGUCUGAGAGGAUGAUCCGCCACACUGGCACUGGAACACGGGCCAGACUCCUACGGGAGGCAGCAGUGAGGAAUAUUGCGCAAUGGGGGAAACCCUGACGUAGCGACGCCGCGUGAGUGAGGAAGGCCUUCGGGUCGUAAAGCUCUGUCAAGAGGAAAGAAGUGUACAAUGGCUAAUACCUGUUGUAUUUGACGGUACCUCUAAAGGAAGCACCGGCUAACUCCGUGCCAGCCGCCGC